rnacentral:lncRNA from 1 species
UGUGUGUGUGUGUGUGUGUGUGUGUGUGUGUGUGUGUGUGUGUGUGUAAAGAGAAACGGGGACUAAGUUAAAGGGGUCAUUUAACGUGGGUUGUUAACUGGUCUUUAAUUAUUAUUAUUAUUAUUAUUAUUAUUAUUAUUAUUUUCGUUGUUAUUGGAGGAUACCUGCUGAUGGGGGCCUGUCCCAUUGCUCCUACUGGCUCAGGUUACAUAAUGAUUUGCUCGUGCUUGGUUUAUUGUUAAUAUCUGUUAUUGAUUGAUUUCGUUAAAUAUUUCGUUAAAUAUUUAUUAUGACGUGUUCUUUGUUGGGAGGUUCUGAGUUUCUCGUGUUUGCCCUCCUGACGGUUUGCUCUCUUGCUCCCUUCUUUUAGAGGCCGGCGGUGGUGGCGGUGCGGUGCCAGCAAGUCCAACUAUUCCUUCUGCUGCAUUUAAUUAUUAUCAUUGCACAAUAAUUAGGGCUGUGGAAGAUGAAUCAAGCAUCAGGAUUAAUCCGAUUAAAAUGUUGACACGAUUAACGCGUCAUUAUCUCCUUAAUUGGUUCGUUCUUCCAGACACAGAGUUUUUUCCUCAAUAACAUGUGUUUUUUUUUGUGUAAUAAUAAUCAGUAACAAUCGCUUCUGUGUUGUGCAGCAUUUAAAGGAGGAUGUGCUCAAACAGACUAAUGUGGUUUAGAUUACAUUACUACGUCACAUGUUUAACUCAUAACUAAUACAUGUAUCGAUGUAGCUGAUAUAUUCCACUAUUAUCUGUAUUGAAAUAUCUACAUUAAACAGGGAUGUGUAUCCCUGAACGCACUCGAUCAGCCAAUGGGCCAAUCAGAAACUGGAUGCCGUCACGUGAUUUACGGGAAAUGGACUAUUGAGCCUAUAAGGGCAUGCCCACCCCCAUGCGGUGGGAUCUGGAGCAGGCUCUGUGCGCUGGAUGUGUUUAUUUCAGGCUGCGCUGGGAGCGGCGGGAUCCUCCAGCUGCCUGGAUUUAAAGACUUGGAAAAGUGUGUCCUCACAGCAAACCUUGCUGGAAGUAAUGAUGGCGUCUCCUUGAGAGAAGAUGAUCCUGCUGCUCCUCAUCCUCACCUCCUCAGCAGCAGCACUUGAAGUGAAGGAGACACAGAGCUCCUAUCAGGCAGAGGAGAACCACAACAUCACACUGGAGUGGACGUUCCCCACAGACACUCAGACUAAGACUGAGGACAUUGAUGUCUACUGUGAUCAUUUAACCAGACAGAAAGCAUCAGUCCUGUAUCAGGUCCAUGCUGGUGUUGAGCUCUCAGAGUCUGUGGAUGAAGGUUUUUCAGGAAGAGUCCAGAGUGACACAGACGCC